rnacentral:rRNA from 1 species
UAGGGAAUCUUCCGCAAUGGGCGAAAGCCUGACGGAGCAACGCCGCGUGAGUGAUGAAGGUCUUCGGAUCGUAAAACUCUGUUAUUAGGGAAGAACAAAUGUGUAAGUAACUAUGCACGUCUUGACGGUACCUAAUCAGAAAGCCACGGCUAACUACGUGCCAGCAGCCGCGGUAAUACGUAGGUGGCAAGCGUUAUCCGGAAUUAUUGGGCGUAAAGCGCGCGUAGGCGGUCUUUUAAGUCUGAUGUGAAAGCCCACGGCUCAACCGUGGAGGGUCAUUUGAAACUGGAAAACUUGAGUGCAGAAGAGGAAAGUGGAAUUCCAUGUGUAGCGGUGAAAUGCGCAGAGAUCUGGAGGAACACCAGUGGCGAAGGCGACUUUCUGGUCUGUAACUGACGCUGAUGUGCGAAAGCGUGGGGAUCAAACAGG